rnacentral:lncRNA from 1 species
CCUAGUCAAUAUCCUAUCAAAAAUUAUAGCAAGUUUGUUAUGAUAUCCACAAGGUUUGCUAUGAGGAUUGAUGUGAAUUUAUCUUGGUGCAUAUUAGAUGCUUUACAGCAUAUUUUGGAUUUGUUGCUUUGUUAUGAUAUCCACAAAGACAGUAUUUUUCAGAUAUGACUGUAUAAAAAUGAAGGAUCUGACUUAACUAAAAAUACUAUUAUUUGUUAUGAUAUCCAUAAGGCCAUAAGUGUUUUUAGAGGUAGGAUUA